rnacentral:lncRNA from 1 species
CCAUACAGUAAUUACUACCCUAGAUCUUACGGUGACAGAUCCUCUCUAACUUGUACCUAAUUUGCAUUUUGGAGAUGCCCAGACAGCACCAAACUCAUUGCAAUUUCUUCAUAUUGGGUGGGGGCGUUGUAUUGUCUUUUCUUGUUUAUGUAUUCUGCAGAAUCAUGAAGCUAUCCCUGGCACAGUAGUGAACAAGCUAGGUGUAUGUGGUGAGAGGUUAGAAAAAAAUGUAUGUUCCACGAAACCAUUAUCCUGGCUGUGGUGUUUAAUGGCCCAUGGCUUCUUUCAUGGCAUCUUACUAUCACAGAAUUCCAAAGGAGAUAUUGUCAUCACUCCAGUUUAUAAAGGAGGACACUGAUGUUCAAUGCCACCCAAGUAGCCUAUGUUAGAACUUGGACUUGAAUAUGGACUAUUUAGGUCUUACACCAUAUUCUCUCAACCAUUCUGCCUCCCUCCCUGGAUAUUACAGUCUUCCCAGAGAUUCGAGACUCAGGCACAUGAUGGGUCACACACAUACAAAUGUGUGCACACACACACACACACACUUGUAAUAAAAUAUCAAAUGUAUACUCAUGUCAUCAGAAUUUAGAAGGGGUCAAAUUUAUGAUAAUUAAAAAAGUAAAAAAGGUAGUGCUUGGUGGGUUUGGCACCUCAAGAGAAAUUGUAGACCUAUAUAGCUAGAGGAUAGACCUAUAUAUCUAGAGGAUAGACCUAUAUAUAGCUAGAGGAUAGACCUAUAUAUAGCUAGAGGAUAGAUCUAUAUAUAGCUAGAGGAAAGACCUAUAGCUAGAGGAGAACAAAGAGAAAGACUCAGCCGUCUACAGUCAAGAAAUAGAAAGACAAAGUCAGAAUGGAACAGAAGGAUGAAGGGCAGGGAACAGGGCAGACAGGUGAGAGGGAGGAUCUAGGUAAGGAUAUGAACUUGAAUCCGAUUUCCCCACUUAAUGCAACCUGGUCGAUGGAUGAUGACUUUCGGUAGAUUUCUACCCCCAUAAAGAUCAAAAUUAUGAGAACUCUCCCCUCUCCUGUACUCUUGUCUUCAGUAGAGAGAUAAAUGAAUGAAAUUAGAUAUAUUAGGGUCCAGCUAUCUCAGGAUAUACUGGAAACUUUAACAGCUAGUCACUUAAGCAAAACAGCAGUUAACAGACAAUCAUAAGUUUGAGCUGCUAUGAUAGCCAUGCUGUGUGGGCAGGAUGUGGUUCCAGCUCCCUUCUGUCAUUCCUGGUCUUUACCCUCAUGUAUUCAAGAUGGCUCAUGUUCCAGGAACUAGACUAAAGAAAGAGGAAAGUAAAGAGAUAGGAAAACAACAUCCCAUUUUUGCUCAGAACUAGGGGAAUUUCCAAUGUGUGAAACUUUCAAUGGAAAAAUCAGGAAAGUCUCUCACACACCAAAUGAGUUAGGAAUCAACUUUCACCUGAGUUCUAGGUGAACUGAACAAUCAUAUAUCCUAUUUGUUAUAACUUACUCAUAGGGUCACAUGUAGCUGCAAGAGAGGCUGGAAGAUAUAAAUAUAUAAUAUGAUAUUUAAUUUUGGCAUGUGCCCACCUAAAGUCAUUCUAUGGAACAAAACAUAUUAGGCCAUAACUGUUUUUUUAAUAAUAUUCAAAUCUUUGGUGAAAGAGAACAUCUUUUACCAUUUAUGUCAGGCAUAGAAGCUCUUCAAAUACAUUCCCAAAAGACGGGCUAUGUGCAUUUUCUACUACUAUACUAGAUGCAAGGUCUCUCUUUUCCUAGUAGGCACAUCUGAGAGUAUUAUUUGUUUCACACAGCCUUGAAUACUGUUAGUUUCAUUUUGAAAAGUAUCAAAUAGUACAGGGAUGUCUUGCGACACCCCAACUGUUGAUUGCAACAUACCAUUAUGGCCAGACAUGGAAAUGCAGAUGUGCGUUAGCAGAUUGCCAGAUAGCUUUGAGUUCAAGAGUUAUGUAGCUUCAUCUAGAGGCUGGAGUGUCUCUCUCCCUAAAUACCAAAUAAGGAAGAGAUAAAUCUCCAGAUCAGGAAUUCUAUAUUUAAAUAUAGAUGUGUUUGACUGUGGGCUCUAGAAAACUCCACUAUAGAAAACUCGAGUAGCUGGGCCAAUCUUGCCCUAAUUUAACUAGCUCGUGAGAAUUCCAGAAAUCAUUUGUAGGGGAAAAUCUGCUUUGUGUCCUGGUCCCUGGAGAUGUAAUGUCAACAGUCCAGCUGGCGUUAUCAGAAGGGAUGAACUAAUGGACACUGGAGGAGGCAUAAGGGCAUCUAGCCCUGCCCUGUAGACACGCCAUUGAGCUGUGGUCCAUGCUGGGGUGGCGUCUCCAUACAAAACACCCCAAAUCAGAUAGACCACAUCUACCUUGUGGAUGUUCUAGUUUAAGGACAAAGAUCAGAUCAGGGCAGGAUGAGACCCAGGAGGAGAAUUGAAUAUGGCAAUGUUUGGAAACUCAUCCACGAGGAGAAAACCUGAGGUGUUGUCCCUCAUGCCCAUGUAAAUCUCGAAUUUUCCAUGAAUCAACUAGACACUUGCCAUGUGUUUCCCAUCACAUUUUGUGCUGUUUUCUUGUGUACCCUGGAGCUUCCAGCUUUCAGAGAAUAAACAUUCCAGAGGCAUUAGUCUGCUCAUGUGAAUUUCAGAGCUCUGAGGAGGGAAAAGAUGGGGAUGAGAUACACUCAUCCAGGAGACGGCUUUACUCGCCUGGAAGGAUGUAUCAAAUCAUGAAGGCUUUCCGUUGGCCUCAGCCACUGAGACGGGCGCAAAAGCCUGGGAGCUCUGGUGGCCAGCCAGUGGUUGGGGAGGUAUGAAAAACAAUAUAUUUGC